CCAGCUUCUCCUGUGCCUGGAGGAAUAUUCCAGAACAUUACAUCAGAGAAUGGAAGAUCCAUUGUCCAGAAUGACGAGGUCAAUAAAGUUCACUGACCCACCCAACCUACAGAGAAGAUUUGCCAACUCCUGGGAAGAACCAACCAAAGUCAGUCAGUGAACUGAAAUCACCUGGCCUCUUACCUGCUUUAUGACAUUCUCUACUUGGUUAUAGUCUUGGGACACAUCAACUGAGAUACACAGCACCACCUGUUCAGAAGAAGAAAAAGGGGGGAACGGGAUCAGGACCUGCAAGACAGCUCCCAGGUAUAUAUGAGUCCGUACCUUCUGGUUUCUGACUGGCCUGCAUCCUACUCAUGUCAAAUAACUUCAUCUUUUAAAAAGCAGCCUAAAAUAUAUCUUAACUGGGAAAAUGAUAAAUGCCUUCAGUGGUCUAGUCGCAGUGGAAGUGACCUCCUUCCUCCCCUUUAAACAACUGUGUCAAUCAGGAAAGAAAACGCAGGCCCCACAUUACCUGUUUGUCGUUAAUGGAGUACUUUUCAAUCUCUUUCUUCGCCUGCAGUAGCUUGUCCUAGAAGCAAUACAGAAAUAAUUACGUCUGUCUGCAUUUGUUAAAAGGAAAAGAAAACACAGCAUCUGAACAGACACUGCAUUCUAUAAAACAGAACCGUAGGCUUGAGGAAGAAAGCGGCAAAAUAUAUGAAGUUACAGGUAAGUCACAGAAGGGGUUCAGUCCGUUGCAGAGAGAUGGAAGAAAAAGAAACCAAGCUCAUAUCUCUUAGCCACAUUCACGCUUACAAGCGAGCAGCGUGUCAACAUUUUCAUUCCCAUAGUUAGCAGUGACACAGAGUAACACACAGCGACAAAAUGCUCUGGAAAGCUAAAGGUAUGCGGCCGAUUCCACACCAGGAGGUCUUUAUGAGAUGUUAUCAGCACUUAACUCUCUUCCAUAUAACCUCAAGUAAAACUGAAUCACUUCUUACAAAGUACUAGAUAGUCUACAUCUGGCUACUUUCAAAAUUACUCCUCAGACUUGCAAAGCUACUCAGAUAAUUGCGAAGUUUUCCCACGUCCUCCAUUUUGUUUCGCUUAUUCAUAAAAACGGAUCUGUGUUUACAGAACCUUAAUUUUUCAUGAAUUUAAAGAAAAGAGAACUGUAGAAGAACCAAGGAGAAGGUGCCAGCACGCCUGAAGUGCUGGGUUCAAUCCCCAGAAAGGCUAAAACCAAGCCUGAAGGAACGCAGGCAUCUGGCAAGGACAUCCUCUGCUACAGAGUUCCAGGUUAGCUCAUGAUACUCCAGACCUUGUCUCAUAGAGGGGUGGGGGUGGGCCGGCAGGUAUCUUCAAAGGACAAGUAGAAUUUACAAACACGAAUACCCAUGACAAAACAGUGCAUUGCUAUUGAAUGAUGGGGAAUGAAUUCAGACUUUGCCAAUAAAAAACUGCAAUAAAAAGUUACGUGAGAAACUAAAA